UCAAGUGAAGAAGCGCAUACGGUGGAUGCCUUGGCAGUCAGAGGCGAUGAAAGACGUGGUAGCCUGCGAAAAGCUUCGGGGAGUCGGCAAACAGACUGUGAUCCGGAGAUGUCUGAAUGGGGGAACCCAGCCAUCAUAAGAUGGUUAUCUUGUACUGAAUACAUAGGUGCAAGAGGCGAACCAGGGGAACUGAAACAUCUAAGUACCCUGAGGAAAAGAAAUCAACCGAGAUUCCCUUAGUAGUGGCGAGCGAACGGGGACCAGCCCUUAAGUUGUAUUGAGAUUAGCGGAACGUUCUGGAAAGGACGGCCAUAGUGGGUGAUAGCCCUGUACGCGAAAAUCCCUUUGCAAUGAAAUCGAGUAGGACGGGGCACGAGAAACCUUGUCUGAAUAUGGGGGGACCAUCCUCCAAGGCUAAAUACUACUGACUGACCGAUAGUGAACCAGUACCGUGAGGGAAAGGCGAAAAGAACCGCGGAGAGCGGAGUGAAAUAGAUCCUGAAACCGUAUGCGUACAAGCAGUGGGAGCCCACUUUGUUGGGUGACUGCGUACCUUUUGUAUAAUGGGUCAGCGACUUAUUUUCAGUGGCGAGCUUAACCGAAUAGGGGAGGCGUAGCGAAAGCGAGUCUUAAUAGGGCGUCUAGUCGCUGGGAAUAGACCCGAAACCGGGCGAUCUAUCCAUGGGCAGGUUGAAGGUUGGGUAACACUAACUGGAGGACCGAACCGACUACCGUUGAAAAGUUAGCGGAUGACCUGUGGAUCGGAGUGAAAGGCUAAUCAAGCUCGGAGAUAGCUGGUUCUCCUCGAAAGCUAUUUAGGUAGCGCCUCAUGUAUCACUGUAGGGGGUAGAGCACUGUUUCGGCUAGGGGGUCAUCCCGACUUACCAAACCGAUGCAAACUCCGAAUACCUGCAAGUGCCGAGCAUGGGAGACACACGGCGGGUGCUAACGUCCGUCGUGAAAAGGGAAACAACCCAGACCGUCAGCUAAGGUCCCAAAGUCAUGGUUAAGUGGGAAACGAUGUGGGAAGGCUUAGACAGCUAGGAGGUUGGCUUAGAAGCAGCCACCCUUUAAAGAAAGCGUAAUAGCUCACUAGUCGAGUCGGCCUGCGCGGAAGAUGUAACGGGGCUCAAACCAUGCACCGAAGCUACGGGUAUCAUCUUAGGAUGAUGCGGUAGAGGAGCGUUCUGUAAGCCUGUGAAGGUGAGUUGAGAAGCUUGCUGGAGGUAUCAGAAGUGCGAAUGCUGACAUGAGUAACGACAAUGGGUGUGAAAAACACCCACGCCGAAAGACCAAGGUUUCCUGCGCAACGUUAAUCGACGCAGGGUUAGUCGGUCCCUAAGGCGAGGCUGAAAAGCGUAGUCGAUGGAAAACAGGUUAAUAUUCCUGUACUUCUGGUUAUUGCGAUGGAGGGACGGAGAAGGCUAGGCCAGCCUGGCGUUGGUUGUCCAGGUUUAAGGUGGUAGGCUGAGAUCUUAGGUAAAUCCGGGAUCUUAAGGCCGAGAGCUGAUGACGAGUGUUCUUUUAGAACACGAAGUGGUUGAUGCCAUGCUUCCAAGAAAAGCUUCUAAGCUUCAGGUAACCAGGAACCGUACCCCAAACCGACACAGGUGGUUGGGUAGAGAAUACCAAGGCGCUUGAGAGAACUCGGGUGAAGGAACUAGGCAAAAUGGCACCGUAACUUCGGGAGAAGGUGCGCCGGUGGAGGUGAAGCAUUUACUGCGUAAGCCCCUGCCGGUCGAAGAUACCAGGCCGCUGCGACUGUUUAUUAAAAACACAGCACUCUGCAAACACGAAAGUGGACGUAUAGGGUGUGACGCCUGCCCGGUGCCGGAAGGUUAAUUGAUGGGGUUAGCGCAAGCGAAGCUCUUGAUCGAAGCCCCGGUAAACGGCGGCCGUAACUAUAACGGUCCUAAGGUAGCGAAAUUCCUUGUCGGGUAAGUUCCGACCUGCACGAAUGGCGUAACGAUGGCGGCGCUGUCUCCACCCGAGACUCAGUGAAAUUGAAAUCGCUGUGAAGAUGCAGUGUAUCCGCGGCUAGACGGAAAGACCCCGUGAACCUUUACUAUAGCUUUGCACUGGACUUUGAAUUUGCUUGUGUAGGAUAGGUGGGAGGCUUUGAAGCGUGGACGCCAGUCUGCGUGGAGCCAACCUUGAAAUACCACCCUGGCAACUUUGAGGUUCUAACUCAGGUCCGUUAUCCGGAUCGAGGACAGUGUAUGGUGGGUAGUUUGACUGGGGCGGUCUCCUCCUAAAGAGUAACGGAGGAGUACGAAGGUGCGCUCAGACCGGUCGGAAAUCGGUCGUAGAGUAUAAAGGCAAAAGCGCGCUUGACUGCGAGACAGACACGUCGAGCAGGUACGAAAGUAGGUCUUAGUGAUCCGGUGGUUCUGUAUGGAAGGGCCAUCGCUCAACGGAUAAAAGGUACUCCGGGGAUAACAGGCUGAUACCGCCCAAGAGUUCAUAUCGACGGCGGUGUUUGGCACCUCGAUGUCGGCUCAUCACAUCCUGGGGCUGAAGCCGGUCCCAAGGGUAUGGCUGUUCGCCAUUUAAAGUGGUACGCGAGCUGGGUUUAGAACGUCGUGAGACAGUUCGGUCCCUAUCUGCCGUGGACGUUUGAGAUUUGAGAGGGGCUGCUCCUAGUACGAGAGGACCGGAGUGGACGAACCUCUGGUGUUCCGGUUGUCACGCCAGUGGCAUUGCCGGGUAGCUAUGUUCGGAAAAGAUAACCGCUGAAAGCAUCUAAGCGGGAAACUUGCCUCAAGAUGAGAUCUCACUGGAACCUUGAGUUCCCUGAAGGGCCGUCGAAGACUACGACGUUGAUAGGUUGGGUGUGUAAGCGCUGUGAGGCGUUGAGCUAACCAAUACUAAUUGCCCGUGAGGCUUGACCAU
rnacentral:rRNA from 1 species